GAAAAUGUUGGUUGCAGAGCUAAAGCUUAGAGGAAUUGAUGGAAGGACACUACACCACCAAAUACAGGAAGAGCCGUCAGACCCGGACAUUGUUGGGAUCAACAGGCUGAAAACUGUUCUUGAUUUAGUGGAUGGUGGCGUAUGGUCAUUAUUAGAUGAUGUGGUCAUUUGUCUGGUUAGGUACAACAACGAACCAGACUUUAACCAUAGUAAGUAGCAUAUUGGUGAUCUGCCUUUUCAGGUCUCAGCUUCUACUGAUUCUUUAUGUAAUAGUGUGGUAGUGAUUCAGCAGGUACAGUGGCAGUUUGGUAUCACACGAAAUUCGGCAGUAACGAGUCUUUGAUGCUCUUAGAUACCCGGGGCCCCACCUAAACCACAAUGAAGGUACGUAAAAGUCUAGGAACUAGGCACGAAAGGGUUGGGCACUGUCUCGUCAUGGCUGUGGUUGCGAUAGGGGUUUACACCAAUUCCCCAUGAACGAGGAGUCCCUAGUAAAUGCAAGUCAUGAGCGUGAGCUGAUUAUGUCCAUACUCUCUGUGCACACUACUCGUCACUACUACUGACUGAACGAUUUAGUGUUGUCGUUGCAAUAGCUUUGCCACCCAAAUGAUGCAGAGAAGACAACCAAACUUGACUAUUUAGAGGAAGUAAACGUCGUAGCGACGCUUCCACAGAUGAACCUGCAUAAG
rnacentral:ncRNA from 1 species